rnacentral:rRNA from 1 species
GAUGAACGCUGGCGGCGUGCUUAACACAUGCAAGUCGAACGGUGAAGACGGAGCUUGCUCUGCUGGAUCAGUGGCGAACGGGUGAGUAACACGUGAGCAAUCUGCCCCUGACUCUGGGAUAAGCGCUGGAAACGGCGUCUAAUACUGGAUACGAGCUGCGAAGGCAUCUUCAGCAGCUGGAAAGAAUUUCGGUCAGGGAUGAGCUCGCGGCCUAUCAGCUUGUUGGUGAGGUAAUGGCUCACCAAGGCGUCGACGGGUAGCCGGCCUGAGAGGGUGACCGGCCACACUGGGACUGAGACACGGCCCAGACUCCUACGGGAGGCAGCAGUGGGGAAUAUUGCACAAUGGGCGAAAGCCUGAUGCAGCAACGCCGCGUGAGGGACGACGGCCUUCGGGUUGUAAACCUCUUUUAGCAGGGAAGAAGCGAAAGUGACGGUACCUGCAGAAAAAGCGCCGGCUAACUACGUG